rfam:Candidatus Hodgkinia cicadicola isolate TETTLN, complete genome.
GCGAAUAUAGCUUAGCUGGUAAAGCACAAUCUUGCCAAGAUUGGGAUCGGGUGUUCGAGUCACCUUGUUCGCU